rnacentral:rRNA from 1 species
GUCCACACCGUAAACGUUGGGCGCUAGGUGUGGGGCCUAUUCCAUGGGUUCCGUGCCGCAGCUAACGCAUUAAGCGCCCCGCCUGGGGGAGUACGGCCGCAAGGCUAAAAACUCAAAGGAAUUGACGGGGGCCCGCACAAGCGGCGGAGCAUGCGGAUUAAUUCGAUGCAACGCGAAGAACCUUACCUGGGUUUGACAUACACCGGAAAGCUGCAGAGAUGUAGCCCCUUUUAGUCGGUGUACAGGUGGUGCAUGGCUGUCGU